rnacentral:rRNA from 1 species
AGGACGAACGCUGGCGGCGUGCUUAACACAUGCAAGUGGAGCGACGAACCAGGGCUUGCCCUGGGGCAGAGCCGCGAACGGGUGAGUAACACGUGGGUUACCUGCCUCGAUGACCGGGACAACCCGAGGAAACUCGGGCUAAUACCGGAUGUGCCCGUAAGGGGAAAGGAAGCUUCGGCCUCCGCAUCGAGAUGGGCCCGCGGCCCAUUAGCUUGUUGGUGAGGUAACGGCUCACCAAGGCUUCGAUGGGUAGCUGGUCUGAGAGGACGAUCAGCCACACUGGGACUGAGACACGGCCCAGACUCCUACGGGAGGCAGCAGUGGGGAAUCUUGCGCAAUGCGCGAAAGCGUGACGCAGCAACGCCGCGUGGGGGAAGAAGGCUUUCGGGUUGUAAACCCCUUUCGAGUUGGGACGAAGCUUCUCCGGUGAAUAGCCGGACGGAGUGACGGUACCUUCACAAGAAGCACCGGCUAACUACGCGCCAGCAGCCGCGGU